ACAUCAUGGUGUGGGCAUUUUCGAAGUAGGUCCUUCAUCCUCUCCCAUGUCCCAUAGAAAAACUCUCCUUCAGCUUGUGAGAAACUAGUGAUAGCUCUCCGUAUUU